rnacentral:rRNA from 1 species
UACGUAGGCAGCAAGCGUUGUUCGGAGUUACUGGGCGUAAAGGGUGUGUAGGGGUUCUUUAAGUUUGGUGUGAAAUCUCCCGGCUCAACCGGGAGGGUGCGCCGAAUACUGAGGGACUAGAGUGCGGGAGAGGAAAGUGGAAUUCCUGGUGUAGCGGUGAAAUGCGUAGAUAUCAGGAGGAACACCGGUGGUGUAGACGGCUUUCUGGACCGUAACUGACGCUGAGACACGAAAGCGUGGGUAGCAAACAGG